rnacentral:rRNA from 1 species
GAUGAACGCUGGCGGCGUGCCUAAUACAUGCAAGUCGAACGCUGAAGGAGGAGCUUGCUCUUCUGGAUGAGUUGCGAACGGGUGAGUAACGCGUAGGUAACCUGCCUGGUAGCGGGGGAUAACUAUUGGAAACGAUAGCUAAUACCGCAUGACAACAGUUAUUGCAUGAUAACUGUUUAAAAGGGGCAACUGCUCCACUACCAGAUGGACCUGCGUUGUAUUAGCUAGUUGGUGAGGUGACGGCUCACCAAGGCGACGAUACAUAGCCGACCUGAGAGGGUGAUCGGCCACACUGGGACUGAGACACGGCCCAGACUCCUACGGGAGGCAGCAGUAGGGAAUCUUCGGCAAUGGACGGAAGUCUGACCGAGCAACGCCGCGUGAGUGAAGAAGGUUGUCGGAUCGUAAAGCUCUGUUGUAAGAGAAGAACGAGUGUGAGAGUGGAAAGUUCACACUGUGACGGUAUCUUACCAGAAAGGGACGGCUAACUACGUG